rnacentral:lncRNA from 7 species
AAAAGGAAAAAGAUCACUGGUAGGCCCCACAGGCUGUCUAUAGACCCUGCUAGUCUUCUUCUGUCCAUGGCCAAAGACUACAUUGAUUGUCAGACAGUUGCCUAUACAAGUUCAGGGUCAAGAAUUCUAAUCAGUCCCAGAUUCUUUAACCUCUGUAAUCCUCAGAAAUCUUUCAGAGUAAUUUUGGACUGGAGUGUGGAGGAAUCUUUGACUCCUUACCACCAAGACUCUGUGGAGGGUCGACUCAGAUCCUUACAGGACAUCUAGUCAUCUGCAGCUGCAUCCCUCUCCUCGGAAACUCCUAAGCAUUCCCAACCUAUUCUCUUUCCUCCAAGUUCUAGCAUUUCUUUCUAUUAUUUCUUUAAUAUCUUCCCUGGCACUGUUAAUGUGUGCUGAGGAAACCUUUGGAAAAUUUAUUCUAGGAAACAGAAACAAUGUUUGGUAAACUACUGCGUUUUCUCACUUUGUUCACUUUUGACAUAGAUUUAAGCAUCUGAGUUAAAAGUUUAUUAUUUAUGUUUUCUUUGAAGAGAGGCAGGUCUCAGAACAACAACCUAACUAAGAUGUUUAAGAAACAUGUUAUUAAAUUACCUAGAUGGGUAAAGAUCUUUCAAAGUCAAUUUUCUGUGCUUUUGUUGGAAAGUGUAUGGGACAGUGAGGAGGAGGGGCUGAUACAGGAGAAGGAGGAGACUGGAGUAUUUCUGGAUAAACUGAGUAUGAAAGACAACAUAAUUUAACCUGCUGUAAUGUGUGGAGUCAAGGGCAUCUAAUACUUAUGGAAAACAGAAGAUCUAGUUGAUAAAAUCCAGAUGUUCCAAAGCUAUUUCUUUCUUGAUGGCUUUUAUUAUGGCAGGCUCAGCCAGAGAAUAUCAGACUCAGCCAAAGAGUAUAAGGCACAGCCUAUGACAUGGAUCAUUAAAAAAUGUUGGGAUUAUGAGCUCAUUCAUUUCUUCAGAAAUACUUGACUUACUCAAUUGCUGGGUAGAAUUUAAUCCUUUACCUAAGAUGAAUGCUUUUGAGUGAAUAUGGAUUUCUACAGAAUAGUCAUCAAAAAUCAUCUGAAAUAGUGACUCUAAGUUACUUAAUUAUCAGUGGAAAGAACAGAUGAUUCCAAGAUGAGACUGAAAAAAGCAAGCAGUUGUAGAUUCAAGACAAAAUAAAUGACAACCUAAAAAUGCUUUUUUCCUCUUCAUUACUAGUAAGGAGAACCUAAAGUAGUCAAGAAAGACCUAGAGAAUUCUGUAGUACAUGUCUGUUUUGGCACAACAAUCUUCUUGGAUUGUGUACUACAAAGACUGGAUCAACUGAUUUGAGAAAAAAAACCCAACUUUUUAAAUUAUUAUUUUGAUUGUGGCACAAUUAAAUUACUAACAGCAAGACAAGCAACUUUCCUUUAAUUUUCUGAAAAAAAAAAAAAAAGUAGCAAAUACAGGUCUAGAAAUCAGUAUGUAGCUGCCUUGAGGCAAAGAUGCAGAAUAUAUAUCUUCAGUAGCAUUAUUACCACAGACAGCUAGGCAAGGUAGUUACAUAAGAUAACAGCACCUUUUUUCUUCUUUUUCCUUCUCUUUUCAUUUUUCCUUCCCCUUCCUUCUUUCUUUUCCAGUGCAGGCUUCAUACAUGGAAGUAAUAUAAAAAUAAUUUUAAAAGAUCAAACUAUCCUAAAAAUCUUUAAUGCCUCACCACACAUUCAGUCAAUGCUAACCAGAAUGUUUGCUGCUGCUGCUACAAACUUUUUGUGAGAACAGGGAAACAAAACUAUUCAGUUUGUUAGACUAUGUGACACUCUAAUAGCAUAUGAAAAAUUAGCAAUUUGCUACCUACAGCAUGUUAAUGUUUUCUAAAGGUUGCUUUUGGUACAGGUUGUCAGAAGAAUAAAAAAGAUAAUGAGAAGAAAAUACUAAGAGGCCUUGAUUCCUCAAAUAGUGGAGAUGUUUGACAAUUCCAGGUUAUGCUAAGUUUUACACUGUAAAAUGAGAAAGGAAGUGGGAAAUGUGAAUCUGAAAUUAAAAAACAACGAGCCCUUCCCAGUGUCUUUUAGAAAAUUGAAAGAAACAAAGAUGAGAUGCUGUUUUCAUGCCUUACAAAUGUAUAAACUAUGGUCAUUUUCAAUCACUGAUAUUCAUACAUGCUGUCUUUACAAAGGGCUCCUCCUGAAGAAUGAGUACCCAGUGUAAUCUAAUAAUCUUUGGCAAUGCCGCAGCCCACCAACACUUCCUUCUUACUAUUAAUCCCCAGAAAAUGCCCUGUAUUUUACUGGCUUCUCUUUUAAAGGCAGAGGGGAUAUACUCAGGUUAUGAGAACUGCAUCCAUUUACUGCAGGUCUCUUACACUGCCCUCCUGUCAUUUCUCCUGUUGACAAUUCCUAUGUGAUAUUGUGUCUUGUGGUAGGGGAAAUUGAAACACAGCAAAAAAGUGGUGUAAUUUAAUACACUGGAAAUAAGCCCACCAAGACUUUUUUUAGAUCCCAUGGCAGAGAACAGCAGUUGACCCAAGUUUAACACUGAGUAAUAGACUUCAACCUUCACAUAGCUGUAAAUCUCUUACUUUCAAGUCAGAUUUAUCUAGAAUAAGAGACCACUUUAUUUUUCUAAGGUACCUUGGAAACUGCAAAUAGCUACAUUUAAGAUUGCUACCUGCUUUUUUUUCUAGUGCAAACCAAAGGAUUUAUCACUGGCUUUUCCUGCAAAAAGUAUGCUAAAAAAGUUCAGGUGACAUCCGAGAUUCUGCUGUUUACGGGAGUCUUCUCUUUGGAGGAGAAUUCACUGACUUUACAUAUAUAAAAUAAAAUCUUCCAUGUGUUUGCUAUAGUAAGGAGAAAGAAGAUCUUCAAAAGAGUGCUUCAACCAACUUAGUUACAAUGGGAUGAAUUGCCUUCAUGAAAGCACCUGUUCUGCAUGGACAGUCGAUCUGAGGAGAUUGGCUGGGAUUAUUCUGCUGAAUUUACAUAGAUAAAUUUUUCAUUCUCUGCUGUUAUGAGUGAACUUAACUAGAUAAAGCAGAAUCUUUGAAAACUUGUCAUUGUGUUGUUCUCCUAGACAUGUUAGUCUUAAACCUUGACUAUAACUUCAAUUUUAUUUAAUUUGGUUUAUUCUUAAAGUGGUUGCAUAGUUCUGCUUUUUACCUGUGACAUUUUCUUUAGGACAAGGAUUUCUCCUUCCACCUACUAGGUUCUGUAGAUUAUGUCAAGCUGUGGCUAAGGUUUCCUGUCCAGUAGUGCAGCACUGAUAUCAGAGUUUCUCUUUCAUGGAUCUGUGGUUACCAAUACCAUUUACAGCUUUAAAGACUAACUCUUUUCAGUGUUCAGAGCUGUCCAAUUUCAGGCAAUUAAUUUCAUUCUUUUUCACUGAGUAUAUAUUUUAAAUAGAUUUUUUAACAUCCUGUCUGCAUAUCUCAUCUGACCAUGAUACUAGCACUUGGUUGUGUUGAAGAGAUGUCUGAGAUGACCUCAAAUGAACAUGAGUGUUACAAAUAGAUCUUAUCAGGUGAAUAAUGUUGUCUAAACCUUAUUUGUGCUUUUGGGUCAAUUUUGAAUCCUGAUUUUGGUGUUAUGAAUAUGAGAUAGAAACUUUUUUUUGUGGAAGAGACCUGUUGGAAAAUAUGGAAAUUAAGUUUUAAAGAAAAAAUCUCCAACUUUCAGUUAAUAACACUAUACAUUUUCCUCAGGUAUUUUUGAGGAACAAUAAAUAUCUAUGUUCAAAUUUGAAUUACUGUGUGUAAAUAUACAACUGAUCUUUCAAAAGAUAUAGCUGAAUGAACACAUAAUGCUUAUAAAUACUGAAAUCCAAAUUAAGCAAGAAGGAAAACUAGAACAUCAUAGAUAUUUAUCCUUUAUAUGUGUGUUUCUACUGUCAUAGAAAUAUAAACACAAUUUCC